rnacentral:tRNA from 1 species
UAAUCACAAUGUGAAAGGUUCAAAUCCUUUUUAAAGAG